GUAACAUGGAAGAGACAAGCCUCUGAAAUUAAGCUUGAUUCGCUUUGCCCCUCAUAAACCCGAUCACUGCAUCCCUUACUUGGCAAAUGGUCUUUCUGUGGGGUGUAGAUGAGGAAAGGGAAGGAGGAAAAUAAAGCAGCUGCUUUGUCCUAGAGCUCUUGUUUCACUGGGGUCUGGCCCUAUUUUCUGAAACUAAAAGACGAUGUGUGAAAGGAGGACGGGAAAGGUGCAAGGAGGUUUUGGUUUUGGUGCUGACUCCAGCUUGCUGCUUGCUGCUGGGAAAGGCACACUUAGCUCCAAGGAAGGAUGCAUGGGUGGAAAGCCAGAGGCCAGGGGUCAGGGAUCCCCAGCAAUAGAGGGCAACAGCCCAACCAAGAGCUGGGGUGAUUUGCUUUUAAACUGCAUUCAGUGAAGUCCUGUCCCAUUGGAUCUGACAUAUGUCUCCCCAUUCCCUUCCAGUUUGUGCAGAGGUGGCAUGAAACAGAGGGCAUUGCUUUCUGCCAGACUGCAGGAGCAGAAGCAUUUCAGGUGCCUAAAUGGUUUGCUUUCCACAUUGUGGUUGAAUGGGGUACAUAUAGAAGGAGGACUUCCAUUCUUGGGGUGGAUAUGCAUAUGGGAGGCUGUACAGGGAAGGCUCCAUCCUGGCCAGUUCAGCCAGCAGCUGUAUCCAACUGGCAGAAGGCCCACUCAGUGAGGCCAGCAAUGGUCCAAGGGCCUCAAACCCCAGCCCAUGAGGCCGGCACUGGCCCUGGGCCAUAAAGCCACAGUAAGGGAAGCCAACAUCAGCUCUGGAGCCUAAAGCCACAGUCAGAGAGGUGAGCACCAGCCUCGGGGCAUACAGAUGUGCACCCCUAUUCCUUCCCACUAUCUCCCCUGGGACUCCAUUGAGCACUGUGAGGCCACAUUAGUCUUGACCGGUUUUUAAUGAAAAUUGCAAAACCAUGACAGCUGCACAAGAGUCACCUUCACUUCCCUGUUGUUUGACUUCAGAUCACCCCAUGGGCUGACCCUGGCGUUGGUUUCCUUAAAUUCGGAUCUAGGAGGCGUCCACUUCCAUUAUGAUGAAAGCGCAGAAGUCAUGCGAGCAUUGCUGAGGUCACAAUGGUUGGCACGGUGGGAGGAGCACGUGUCCCACAGGUGGUGAGCAGAGCUGGUGCUCUGGCGAGCGUGCUGCACGCGGAGACUGAGCUCUGUGCCUUCUGUGGAACAGAUCACCCUGACACAGCCUGUCCGAAGGACUGCUGUGCUGUGUUGGGAUAAAGAUUAUCCUUUUGGCUCGGGGAAAAGAACUGCAGGCUAUAAGUUACGGUAAGUGAUAACGAGAUAAAAUUUAAAGAUAAAGAGAAAUGAAAAAAAACGGCAUAAGGAAAAAACAAAAAAAC